GCCCUGUGACCACUGUGUUUAACGGCCGCGGUAUCAUAACCGUGCGAAGGUAGCGUAAUCACUUGUCUUUUAAAUGGAGACCUGUAUGAAUGGCACCACGAGGGUUUAACUGUCUCCUUCCCCCAGUCAAUGAAAUUGAUCUGCCCGUGCAGAAGCGGACAUAAAAACAUAAGACGAGAAGACCCUAUGGAGCUUUAGGCUAAAGACCCAAACACGUAAAGAAAUUUUUUAUAAAACAAAAGAAGCAGAAUAAAUUUAAACUUAAUGUAUUAAUGACCAUAUGCCUUCGGUUGGGGCGACCACGGGGGAAAACAAAGCCCCCGAAUGGAAUGAAAAUAUCUUCCAAACCAAGAAGUACACUUCUAAGUAACAGAAAAUCUGACCAAACAUGACCCGGGACAAACAAACCCGAUCAAUGAACCAAGUUACCCUAGGGAUAACAGCGCAAUCCUUUCCCAGAGUCCCUAUCGACGAAAGGGUUUACGACCUCGAUGUUGGAUCAGGACAUCCUAAUGGUGAAGCCGCUAUUAAGGGUUCGUUUGUUCAACG
rnacentral:rRNA from 1 species